CUACGGGAGGCUGCAGUGGGGAAUAUUGCACAAUGGAGGAAACUCUGAUGCAGCAACGCCGCGUGGAGGAUGACACUUUUCGGAGCGUAAACUCCUUUUAUAUAGGAAGAAGAUGACGGUACUAUAUGAAUAAGCGCCGGCUAACUCCGUGCCAGCAGCCGCGGUAAUACGGAGGGCGCAAGCGUUACUCGGAAUCACUGGGCGUAAAGAGCGUGUCGGCGGAUUAAAAAGUCAGAAGUGAAGUCCUAUAGCUUAACUAUAGAACUGCUUCUGAAACUCUUAAUCUAGAAUAUGGGAGAGGUAGAUGGAAUUUCUGGUGUAGGGGUAAAAUCCGUAGAGAUCAGAAGGAAUACCGAUUGCGAAGGCGAUCUACUAGAACAUUAUUGACGCUGAGACGCGAAAGCGUGGGGAGCAAACAGGAUUAGAUACCCCCGUAGUC
rnacentral:rRNA from 1 species